GGGUAAGGAUACGGUAAGCUGCCUUCGCAUGGCAGAGGUCACGAGUUCGAGUCUCGUCAGGUCCA
rnacentral:tRNA from 1 species